rnacentral:rRNA from 1 species
GAUGAACGCUGGCGGCGUGCCUAAUACAUGCAAGUCGAGCGAACAGACGAGGAGCUUGCUCCUCUGACGUUAGCGGCGGACGGGUGAGUAACACGUGGAUAACCUACCUAUAAGACUGGGAUAACUUCGGGAAACCGGAGCUAAUACCGGAUAAUAUAUUGAACCGCAUGGUUCAAUAGUGAAAGACGGUUUUGCUGUCACUUAUAGAUGGAUCCGCGCCGCAUUAGCUAGUUGGUAAGGUAACGGCUUACCAAGGCAACGAUGCGUAGCCGACCUGAGAGAGUGAUCGGCCACACUGGAACUGAGACACGGUCCAGACUCCUACGGGAGGCAGCAGUAGGGAAUCUUCCGCAAUGGGCGAAAGCCUGACGGAGCAACGCCGCGUGAGUGAUGAAGGUCUUCGGAUCGUAAAACUCUGUUAUUAGUGAAAAACAAAUGUGUAAGUAACUAUGCACGUCUUGACGGUACCUAAUCAGAAAGCCACGGCUAACUACGUG